rnacentral:rRNA from 1 species
GGGAAAGCAUUGCCAUGGGCGCAGCCUGAUGCAGCGACGCCGCGUGAGGGAUGACGGCCUUCGGGUUGUAAACCUCUUUCAGUAGGGAAGAAGCGAAAGUGACGGUACCUGCAGAAGAAGCGCCGGCUAACUACGUGCCAGCAGCCGCGGUAAUACGUAGGGCGCAAGCGUUGUCCGGAAUUAUUGGGCGUAAAGAGCUCGUAGGCGGUUUGUCGCGUCUGCUGUGAAAGCCCGGGGCUCAACCCCGGGUCUGCAGUGGGUACGGGCAGACUAGAGUGCAGUAGGGGAGACUGGAAUUCCUGGUGUAGCGGUGAAAUGCGCAGAUAUCAGGAGGAACACCGAUGGCGAAGGCAGGUCUCUGGGCUGUUACUGACGCUGAGGAGCGAAAGCAUGGGGAGCGAACAGGAUUAGAUACCCUGGUAGUCCAUGCCGUAAACGUUGGGCACUAGGUGUGGGGGACAUUCCACGUUCUCCGCGCCGUAGCUAACGCAUUAAGUGCCCCGCCUGGGGAGUACGGCCGCAAGGCUAAAACUCAAAGGAAUUGACGGGGGCCCGCACAAGCGGCGGAGCAUGCGGAUUAAUUCGAUGCAACGCGAAGAACCUUACCAAGGCUUGACAUUCACCGGACCGCCCCAGAGAUGGGGUUUCCCUUCGGGGCCGGUGGACAGGUGGUGCAUGGUUGUCGUCAGCUCGUGU